rnacentral:siRNA from 1 species
UAGCAUGGAGGAUGACCGGUGCUC